rnacentral:rRNA from 1 species
AGUGAACGCUGUCUGUAGGCCUCACCCAUGCACGUCUAACGUCAGCACAGUAAGAGCUUGCUCUUACGGGUGGCGAGUGGCGGCCGGGUGAGGAUUACAUCGGAAUCUACUUUUUCGUGGGGGAUAACGUAGGGAAGCUUACGCUCUUACCGAAUACGACCUACGGGUGACAGCAUGGGAUCUUCGUACCUUGCGCGCUUGAUUGAGCCGAUGUCGGAUUAGCUAGUUUGCGGUGUAAAGGCCCACCCAGGCGACGAUCCGUAGCUGGUCUGAGAGGAUGAGCAGCGAAACUGGAACUGAGACACGGGCCAGACUCCUACGGGAGGCAGCAGUGGGGAAUAUUGGACAACGGGCGGAAGCCUGAUGCAGCCAUACCGCGUGGGUGAAGAAGGCCUUCGGGGGGGAAAGCCCAGUUGUUGGGGAAGAAAAGCAGCAGGUUAUUACCCCGCUGUGCGGACGGGACCCAAAGAAUAAGCACCGGCGAACAUGGUG